rnacentral:piRNA from 1 species
UAUAACGUACGUAUGUUUGAAAUGUGA